GGGAUUGUAGCUCAGUGAGUAGAGAGCUGGUCUAGCAUACCAGAGGCCUCAGGUUCAAGCCCCAGCAUCCCCC
rnacentral:tRNA from 1 species